UUGAAGAAAAUCCUAUACAUUCAACAUCUCAUCUAUCCCGUCAAUCGUCGUCGACUGACUUCAGCACUACAAUCGAAACCGUCGACGAGGUCUGAACAGAAUAUUAUCAGUCGAAUACCAACGCCACAAAAGCACUCGAACAUUCUAUAAUACUACACCGGUCUCCGCCUUUUUCCAUGCAGCAGUUUCAAAGCACAAGGCCAACGCUUACGAGCAUAAUAAUCAUAUGACAUCCAUUGUAAAGGAUACCAUGAAUAGUGUUUUCAGUCAUGAUCGAAAGACGGACCAAGAUUUAUGGAAAAUAAAAUAUUAUACCAAAUCCUAAAUUUCAGGUAUUCUAAAGGAUAUUAAAGAGAACAGUUAAUUUGAAGACGAUUAAUUGAUCCACAAUUUGUCUUUACACUUAACUAAUAUAUAAUAUUAUGUUAUUAGUACUUAGCAGUAACGUGAAUUGUCCAUCGAAAUCC